UCAAUGCUAUCCUCAGAUAGGAUGUUUAUGUCAAAUACAGUCCUACUUAAUUAGGUGUCAUCACCAAUAUCCAAAACAUUCCCUUCACAUAACUUUACUAGAAAAAUAAAUAACUACAAUACAUGGACUGUUGAAAAAUAAUUGUGUUAACUCGUGAUUAGUGGUCAUACGCAUCACGUAAUCGCUCGGCACCUAUACCAAACAAAAAGUGAUAAAAGAAGCAAUACCUUUUGUAAUAAAAUAAUAACAUAAUAUAAUAAUAAAAAAUGUCAUCUAUGAAACAUAAAAUAAUAAAACAACUAAUUACACGCUAUGUAAAGAUUUAGUAAUAUAUACAAAAAUCAGUUGAGCAUAUCUAAAUACAAUAGAUCUAUUUUGGUCAAAUAUUAUUUUUCCGUCAUAAUAAAUCGAUAACAACAAUAUUUUAGAUGCUUUAAAAAUAUAUGAAUAAGAAGUAAAGAGAUGAAUAGAGUAGAAAUGAAUGUAAUUUUUAGCGUGACUACUACCUUUCACGUACUGAAAUUUAUAGGAUAGAAUGGUGCUUUUGCCAAAUCGCUUCUAAGGUGGGCAAAAUGCAUCAGAAGAAGCCAAUUCGCCUCUGCCUUGUUCGAACUGCUUAAAAAAACUAAUUCGCCGGUCACUUAGGCCCACUGCUACAAACGACCAAAAAAAGGAUAUUCCUAUAUAAAUCCUCUUUGUUUUGUUUUAGGAAAUAAUAAUUUUUAUUAAUUUAUUUAAGAAAAAUCCUCCCUAUCUACGAGGAGGAAUCUUUAUCUAUGAGAAUAAAUAUAAAGAAAGGAAAGCAGGCAAUAGAUGAGAUAAAGAUUAAGUGUAAGGUUUGGAGAAAGAAUUUUCCUAUAAGGUGGGAGCAUUAUAUGAAGAUCAGUUGGUAGUAUAUUGUGAUGUGAAAGUACAUGAUAAAAUUUGUAAUUUAAUUCUUAAGACAUACACCGUAUGGAAACUCAAAUUAUGUGAAAGAUUUAAACUCAACAAAGUGUUUCCAAGAUGAUAGAAAUAUAGAAGAAGUCACUGAAGAAACUCAAUUGAUUUCCAAUAUGACCCAAUUAAGGAAACUGUAGUGAAUGAUAAAAUUAAUAGCAAGGAGGUUCAUGAUGACAUAAAAAACGUAUCCAUCUUGAAUCUUUUAUUUCCACCGAGUUUUGAAAAAGUUAUUCGGAAAAACGUUAACUCAACCUAUUCUAGAAAAGUAAAGACAAUACAAGUGAAGAUGAGAAAUGUGAGAAAGUGCGAUGUGAAGGGAAAAAAGAGCCUUUGAGCAAG
rnacentral:lncRNA from 1 species